rnacentral:sRNA from 1 species
UAUUUUGUGGAAAAAGGGGAGGCAGCAGAUAUUCAAAGUAGACUUUUCAGUAUCAGCAGAGGGUGACAAUGAAGAACAAGAAAAAUUACUGAAGAAAAGCUGUACGUUAUAUGUUGGAAAUCUUUCUUUUUACACAACUGAAGAACAAAUCUAUGAACUCUUCAGCAAAAGUGGUGACAUAAAGAAAAUCAUUAUGGGUCUGGAUAAAAUGAAGAAAACAGCAUGUGGAUUCUGUUUUGUGGAAUAUUACUCACGCGCGGAUGCGGAAAACGCCAUGCGGUACAUAAAUGGAACGCGUCUGGAUGACCGAAUCAUUCGCACAGACUGGGACGCAGGCUUUAAGGAGGGCAGGCAAUACGGCCGUGGGCGAUCUGGGGGCCAGGUAUGCGAGAAGGGUCUCUGGGCUCAGCCAUUGCCUGGGAUUCCAGUCACAAUGACAGGUGUUUUGGCAAUUUGUAUUUACUCUUUUGUAAAUAACUUUGUGUCUAUAACCUUGGCUUGAAGUGGAUCUGAAACCACCCAACGGUUUGGGUGAAUUUUUUUUUUAAACC